CCUACGGGAGGCAGCAGUGGGGAAUAUUGGACAAUGGGCGCAAGCCUGAUCCAGCAAUGCCGCGUGUGUGAAGAAGGCCUUCGGGUUGUAAAGCACUUUAGGCAGGGAAGAAAAAAUACGGCGAUAACAUCGCCGAUCUUGACGGUACCUGAGGAAUAAGCACCGGCUAACUCUGUGCCAGCAGCCGCGGUAAUACAGAGGGUGCAAGCGUUAAUCGGAUUUACUGGGCGUAAAGCGUGUGUAGGUGGUUAGAAAAGUCGAUUGUGAAAUCCCUGGGCUCAACCCGGGAACUGCUUUCGAGACUGUUUGACUAGAAUUCGGUAGAGGGAGGCGGAACUCCAGGUGUAGCGGUGAAAUGCGUAGAUAUCUGGAAGAACACCAAUGGCGAAGGCAACCUCCUGGGCCUGAAUUGACACUGAGACACGAAAGCGUUGGGGAUCAAACAGGAUUAGAUACCCUGGUAGUCCACGCCGUAAACGANAGAGACUAGUACGUCGUUGUCUCUGCGAGUACGUGUCGUAGUCGUACGACGAUAGUUACGUCCGUCCGUCGGGAGGUACGGCCGCGACGUAGUAACGUACGAAGAGUAGUAGACGCGNGAGACGACGACGACGACGACGACGGAGGGAGGAGG
rnacentral:rRNA from 1 species